rnacentral:rRNA from 1 species
CAACUUUUAGCAACGGAUCUCUUGGCUCUCGCAUCGAUGAAGAACGCAGCGAAAUGCGAUAAGUAAUGUGAAUUGCAGAAUUCAGUGAAUCAUCGAAUUUUUGAACGCAUCUUGCGCUCCUUGGUAUUCUGAGGAGCAUGCCUGUUUGAGUGUUGUUU